rnacentral:rRNA from 1 species
AGAAUCAACGCUGGCGGCGUGCCUAACACAUGCAAGUCGAACGAGAACGGGUAGCAAUACCUUAGUAAAGUGGCGCACGGGUGAGUAACACGUGACUAACCUACCCUGGAGUGGGGGAUAACUGAGAGAAAUCUUAGCUAAUACCGCAUAACACCUACGGGUCAAAGGAGCAAUUCGCUUCAGGAGGGGUCGCGGCAGAUUAGAUAGUUGGCGGGUAAUGGCCCACCAAGUCAGUGAUCUGUA